UACGACAAUAUCGAUACGAUAAUUCACAGACUAUAUGGACCCUUCCAUGAAGUGCUUUCCCAAAAAAUUCACCUAAUGGAGAUCAGCCUUAACGUUACGCAGCUCAAAUGGCUUCUAACAGCUGUUCUAGGUCUUCACGGAGGCCAGAUCAACAAAUUUAUGUUCUAAAGCAACGAAGAUCUAAUAUAGAAAUUUCAAAAGAGGAAAGUAAAAACACGACACGAAAGGAGAAAGGUAUAAAGAGAUGCAAUUCUGCACAAAAAUCCAUCACAACAAAAAAUAAAAAUUAUGAUUGUUCGAAAAAGUUUUCAAAUGAUAAAUUUUCUCCCGAUAGGAGUAAAGUUAACCACAUUGAUUUAAAGAAGACCUAUUAUCAGCCAUGUUUCAAAAAAGGUGUCAUUGUUCUUGCCGAAAAGAAAUUUUCAAACACUGGAAAGGAUGUGGUCGUAGUUAGCGAUAUAAGAAGGACUCUGUUUGGUAUAGAACAUUUUAGUGACAUGUUUAGUCACAUGAUUUUGAAUGAUGCUAGCAGAAUGUUGCAAGAAUUGAGAAAUAACAUUAAAGUAAGAAGUUGCUCUGCACAAAUAAAUGUAAACAUAUUGUACAAACAGAAAAUAAACAAAUUACACCACAGUAUAGCUGAUAAUAUUGUUAAUAUUGCAAUUGAAAAUGCAAUGAAGAUGUUAAUAUCAGUUGCUAAAUGUUAUCAUGGCAAAAUUGAUUGUGAAAAUCUGAAAAAGAAGAACGCUAAUAUAGAAGAUUUAAACAAAGAAUGUAACAAUGUAUAUGGUGAGAAAGACAACAAUAAAAAACAUAACAGAACAAGAUUACAAAAUUUUGAAACAAGUCGUGAUAAAGGGGUUCAUAAUAGUACUGACAGGGCAGCAAAUUUUAACAAACAAAAAGGUGACAUAAAUGAGGAUAAUAAUAUGUCCCUAUUAAAGGGAAAUUGCGAUGCAGCAGAAAAGAGUAACACUGGAAGUGAUCUUCAAAUUCAGGAAGAGAUUACAGAUGAUUGGGAUUCAAGCUGGACAGAAGAGGGAGAGUGUAUUAAUGAAGAGUUAAGAAAUGAACUGUCUCGUUUAACGUGCAAGAAUGACGGAGAAAGAAAGUCGGAUGUGAUCAGUUAUUUGGAAUUUGAGCCAAAAGAGAUUAUGUUAGAUGCAGGAGAAUUUGGACAUAUCUUGGAGCUGCAUAAUUUUAGCUCAGCCAUGAAAACUCAAGAUUUGUUUUUUGCUCUCACUUCUCUGGGAAUAAAGGAUUGUAGUAUCACUUGGGUUGAUGAUACGCAUGCUUUAGCUGUUUUUGCGAAUCAAAACGCUGCUCAUACAGCAAUGAGGACACAGUCACCCCUUCUUGAGAUUAGACAGGUUAUUGAUGGUACUUCACAAUCUAGACUUAAGGCCCGAGAUUUUAAAGACGUGUUGUUGCCUUACAAAAAAAGACCAGAAACUUCAUCAUUAGUUGCACAUAAUCUUGUGACUGGAGCAUUAGGUAUAAAGUCUAAAGUAACAGCUGAACAAAGAAAGAAGGAGAGGGAAAAACUAAAAGAAGCUAAAGGUUUUCAAACUGGAACGAAAAGUUUAUUUGAUUCUCGAGGGAACCUUCCGCUCAAAAGGAUGACGUUACAGGAGUAUUAGCAAAUUAAAUUGCGUGGUUUGUUGAUGUCUAUCAAAAAUGUAUACAGCUAAAACAGAUAUAAUGCAAUUUCAAUUUUUUUAAGGAAAAAAGUGCAUAUCAACGUUGCAAAGAAAGAUAAAAGCAAAGCAGAAGAGGGAUAUGUGGGAGAAUCCUGAAUAAAUUCGAAUACAUAAUUUUUUACUUUUGUGCGCCACGAUGAAAUUCGAAGAUUAUUACAUUUGUUAUUUUGUAUAGGGCAAUUUUUUAUUGCUACCUUACAGGAAGAAAAAUUGCGGAAUUAAAGAUGGCGAAUUUGGCCGAAAUUCGCAAUCUUUUCUUCCGCAAUUCCAAGAAAAAAAAUUAUUUUGUCGAUUUCCAAGAAAAAGAUGAGUUAUUUCUGUCGUUGUUUUGCUAUAUGAAGGUUUACAGGGGAAUCCCCUGAAUUAUUUGCAUCGAAAGAAAUUUUCAAAAUACCUAAGACGAAAAAAAAUAUCAAGCGAUUCCGUGGAAAAAUUCAUUGAUCAUUGCUGUAAUUCGCAAUUUUAAAUUUCGCAAUUUCUUCACACAAUAUGAGAUUCGCAAUCUUUAAUUUCACAAUCUUUUCUUGCGCAAACUUCUCUUCCCUUGUAAAAUUAUUUUUGUUAUCUAAUAAUUUAAAUGUUUCAAAUUGUGUUAUUUAUAUGUAACGAAUUUUAAAAAUAUUUUUAUUUGUAUUUUGCCGUGGUCGAUUAUAUUUGUAAACAAACUUUGUUAUAGAGCUAACCGUAUUUAUAAAAAACGUUUGGUGUUACCUUGUUCGAUUUAUUUAAAUAUCACUGACUAGUUCAUGGUGUCGCAUUGUACACUAAGAACGAAGAUAGCGGCAUAAAGAAGUAAACUGCUGAAAUAAGAAAAACAAGUGUAUGUAGCUCUAGCUAGCUAACAAGAAGGUUUUUAAAUAUGUUUAGCACGUAGUACGUGAUCAAAAACCGUGUUAAUGACAGCUAGCCUAUAUUUUAGCUUGGUAUUUUGUUUACAUUUAGCUAUUAUCUAGCUAGCUAAACUUUAUCAAACUAAAAUUUGCAAAUUUAGAGAGGAACUUCAUUUCUGUGUUCCUUAUUUACAGGUUUGAAAUUGGAUUCACAGAAUAAAUCCCACAAGUACAUAUAUUUCUGGGGAACCUAUUUGCAAAAAUUUUCAAAUAUUAACUUAAAAUUGAUGAAUUUAAUUAAGAAAACAGAAUAUAAUUAUUAAAACUUCGGGAAGGGAGAUCUAGUGUCUCUGAGGAAUCUGCGAAUUAUAUAACUACCUUAACCGUAUUCAUGCAGGGGCGGACAAAAUUAACUUACCCGCAUCUGACAUUUGGGGACUUUUCUUUUAUGGGCAUCCUGCAAGUAGAAACUGGUUUGCACCAAUCAAACAUGGCACACAUUUUUAUUUAGACCCUAACAUAACACUUACUCUCACAUAUUUCAAUCAUAAAAUUGCACUUAAUGUUUUUUUGCACAUGAUCUUUGUGAAAAUUGCUAUAACUGUCAAAAAUCGUUUAUCGGUGUCCCUGAAAAUGGCUCAAACUGGAACUCAGGAACUAUGGUAAUAGUGAAAAUAUUUUGUGUCCUUAUUUUUAUUUUAAAUCAGCCUAAAAACAUUUCAUACGAAGUUUCAAGUCGUUAUUUCAAUUUUAUUUUUAGCAAAAAUUAUGGUUUCGAAAGAGAGCAACCUUGUCCCCAGGGUCUUGUGGCCCCUGAGCCGUUAUUAGGGAGUGGCCAAUAAUAAACCUGGAACAGGCUGGUCAUGUGACACAAUAAUGCCCAGAUAUACUGGGCAUUUUUGAAAUUCCAAAGAUAAUGAGAUGCAAAUUUGGCGCUCGCCUUUUAAGCAAGAUGGCGGGCGAAAAAAGACAUAACGUUAAAGAAACUACUUUGUUGAUAAAAGCAAAAUUGUCAGAAUAUUACUGACGUAAAGUCUAUUAAUCUCGCUUAGCUUGAUUGUUCAAUAUUGGCGAAAGGCUUUUAGUUUAGAAAAUGUUUUGAAAGUUUGUUUCCAUUAAAAUUCUUGAGCUCUAGCUAGCUAGCUGGGCUGGAAUGUCACGUUAGCUGUCUAGCUACCUAACGUGACAUCUUGAGACAGCUUUACUCAACCAAAUAUUUAUAAAGGACAUGUGAAAUGACUAUUAUUUUCCAGGUGGGUGAUUUUGUUAAGAACACGUUAGAAAUUGUAGGAGAAGAUCUGGGUACUCUAGUUGCACACAAAUUUUUCUAAUAUGCACAACAAAUUUUCGUGACUCAUAAAUAUAUAUUUAUGAGUGUUUAAAUGCACACAUAUAUAGAUCUUCUUCCUACAGUACCCUGGUUUGUAUUGCCCAUAGUUAGUUCACUAUUUACCUAUCUGCCUUUUCUGGUCAGCAGCAUAUAUUUUGGUCAGCAGUCUUGCUAGUAUGUAAGCUGCAGUUGCCUCAUGGUUUUCCUUUUCAGUUCUAGCAGUUUUUCUUAUGCUUAUGUCUGCUGCUUAUUAAUCCACUUAUAUCUAAUCAAUCAUUUUGCAAUCAAACCAAUCUUUGGCUAAUUAAAAAUGAAUUUAUCACCUAUAUGGAUGCUGUUAUAUUUUAUCUCACCUACUCAAACGCCAGAUGGCUCAGAAAAUGAAGAUUCAACUUCACAAACCUUCCAAUCUGCUGCAAUGUCUGUCGCUCUUGAGGAAUCGUCCACACUCAUAAAGAAACGUAUCCCAAAAUGUCCUGGCUGCAAGGAACUUCUGGCUCUACACGACUUUGGUAUUCCCAGUCGUCACUGUCCAGGUCGUCGUUCUAGCGCUACCAACACUGUCAUAUCAGCUGCUUCAACACUUUCCUCAACUAUCGAUAAUAACCCAAUGUCUUCAAUCCAAAGAUCUUCGCCUUUGCAGUCUCACCUAAACAACCCAAACAAAUCUUCUUCGCCGUCUCAGCUAGGUGCUCUUCAAAAUCAGCUGGCUGUCUUAGAACAGGAAGAACUAUCCCUAAGGGAAAGUUUACAAACAGAAGAGCAACACCUUCUCAAUCAGAUUGCUGCUCGACAAUCAGAAUUAGCUAGGCUUCGCUCAGCUUCUUCCAGAAAUGCCCGCCCAGCACAAAUUUUAAGCACUUCCCCGUUGCAGCAAACUGUAAAUCCAACCAAUCGUGUCCAAGACAAUCUCCGCCCUUCACCUCUUGACGUACAACUGCCAUCUUGUUUUGCUUCCUUGCUUGCUCCGCAACAGUCCGCCAAUUUGUUGACCAAUCGCACUGUCUUGUCACAACAACAAACGCUCCCUAUCGGAUGUUUUUCGCCAGCAAGAAGACCGUAGUUCAGAAUUGUUUCUGCGCCCUGCACUUUCUUCCAACACUGGAAAUGGUAAGCCACUUCGUAUUGUCGAUUUGGUGUCUCGUCUUCGUCCUGUGGAGCAGGAGAAAGUUAUUUCUACUGAUCCUGGUUCGCAAACUACGCUAAUGUUGGCCAUUGGAAAUAAGAAGCCAAGACUGGAAUCUCUUUCCAUGGAACAAUAUAACAUAGCUAAUUUGAAAAUUUUUUUAUGAAUUAUUGUCUUCUGCCAGAUUGCCAACCUCGUCCGAUUUACAUGACCAUCUGUCUUAUUCCAUUAAGAUCUUAGAGUUGGCUAGAAAGUACACCUGGGAGUCUGUGCUAAAGUAUGACGAUGAAUAUCGAAUUCUUCAGCACACUUAUGGCUAUCCAUGGAGCUUUGACAAUAGUCAUUUGCAUGAAGUGAUGCUUAUACCUCGUUGGGCCUGCCCUCCUGUCUGUAACCCUUCCAGUACCUUAAGUAAGGGAAAUUCAGGUUCACCUGCCUCAGGAUCGUCUUCAGGGUUUCCUACACAUACUUCUUCCGGUGUGGAAAUAUGUCGUAAUUUUAACCGCCAAAAAGGUUGCCAGAAAACAGAAUGUAAAUUCACCCACGUCUGCAACCGCAAAAUUGGUAAUCAGGCUUGUGGCAAACCUCAUUCUGGACAAAACCACAAUUCUGACAAUUGACUACCCUCAGAAUUUCGCACUCCUCUUAAUGUUGACUUAUGGACCAAUGAACUGGCUGAAGACCCAGAUCGUGACUUCCUCCUUAAUGGAAUUCACUGUGGUUUUCAGCUUCUUCCUAAGGACUCUGAUUUAUUGCCUGCCGAAAUGAAUAACUACUUUUCUGUUACCAGUCCUACAGCUCAUAUGAAAGUAGAAGCUACACUGCUGGAUGAACUUAAAACUGGUAACUAUGUUCUUACUCAAUGUAAACCUACCAUUGUCAGUGCUCUUGGGGCUGUCCCCAAACCUGACUCUGACGAGUUACGCAUUAUACAUGACUGUUCCAUGCCAGUUGGAAAGGGUGUCAAUACGUACAUUGAUAUUGAAAAACAAAAAUUUCAAACUAUCGAUGAUGCCUGUGCUAUGAUCAAACAGGGAUAUUUUAUGGCCAAGGUUGAUCUACGCCAUGCAUAUCGGUUAACACCUGUUCAUCCAUCAAACUAUGCUGCGCUUGGUCUAAAAUGGCGGUUUUCUGGAAGCACUCGAUACUUAUAUCUUGUCGAUACUCGACUUCCUUUUGGAGGUCGAAGUGCUCCUGGAAUAUUUCAUCGCCUUACACAAUCUGUUCGUCGUAUGAUGCUAAGACGAGGUUUUCCUCUCGUUAUUGUCUACCUAAAUGAUUUUCCUGUUAUUGGCCGAACACAGACUGAAUGUUUGAGGCCUAUAACACACUCUGUAAAUUACUUGUUGCACUAGGAUUUCAGCUUAGCCCUGCUAAGUUGGUUCCUCCAUGCCAGCAACUUACUUUUCUUGGAAUUCUGCUUGACACUGUGUCACUUACCCUUUCUCUUCCACAUGCUAAACUGGAUGCAUUGAGGGAAGUAGUGUCACAUUUUUUAACCAAGCAGAGAGCCUCUAAGAAAGAGUUGCAACGUCUUGCUGGUCGCCUAAAUUGGGCUUGUAAAUUUGUGUAUGGUGGUAGAACGUUCUUGAGACGUGUCCUGGAUCUGAUGAACACCUUGUCUUCCCCUGCCUCGAAGUGUCGCUUGACGCUCGAAUUUCACAGGGAUAUAGCUUGGUGGGAUCAGUUCUUGAGUGUGUUUAAUGGACAAUGCGAUUUGUAUGACCAAAGACCUAUUACCAGUUUGCAAACUGAUGCUUGCUCUGACGCUGUUGGUGCCUUUUUUGAGGGUGAUUGGUUCUAUUCUCAUCUAUGGGUAGACCAUUUCCCUCUUGCCUCUUUGCAUAUUAAUUUUAAGGAAGCCCUGUGUGUAGCUCUUUCUGCUAUUCGCUGGGCUCCCACUUGGAAGAACAAAACUAUCCAUGUCUUCUGCGAUAAUACUGCUGCUGUUGCUAUGCUUAAUAAAGGAACUACCCAUCACCCUGUUAUGAUGGACUAUUUACGUCAGUUGUUUUGGUUAUCGGCUACCUUUAAUUUUCGUUUGAAGGCUUUCCAUGUAGCUGGUGCUCAGAAUGUCCUUGCUGACGACAUAUCACGUCUUCAUUCAAGACAACACUUAUUAUCAUUUUUGCACUUUUUGCAGCUCAACUCACUGACUUCAGUCUGUGAUUUGGUUGCCAUCAAUCAUAUGUCUGCCUAUUCUUAUUAUUUUCUCAAUGGUAAGUAUACCAUCUGUGGUAGCUAAUUUUUGUAUUCUCCUUCCUCUAGAGUUGCCCCCCUUCGUUUCGGAGUUGGUGCACGACGUUGUCCUUUUUCGGCAGGCCACCUAUGCUGAAAAUACAAAACAGAGCUAUCGCACGCAUCGCAAGGCUUAUAAAUGUUUUUGUAGCCAGAUGUCUUCGCCACUUGUGCCUGCCUCCACAGAUUUUUUAUGCCUAUAUAUUGCCCAUUUGGCUAGGUUUUUACUACCACAAUCAGUUUGUAUGUAUCUAAAUUUUGUUGGCCUUCUACAUCUUGAGAUGGGAUACGCUAAUCCUCUAACCAACAAUUGGACACUAUCCACAGUUUUAAAAGGUAUGAAGCGUAUGCUUGGUGUUCCGGCCAAGCCACGUCUUCCUAUUACCACUGCUCUUCUUUUUGGUAUUCGUUCUCGCUUUAACCUAAAUUGUAGCUUUCAUGCUUCAUUUUGGGCUGUUUGUUUAGUUUCAUUUUUUGUUCUGUUCCGUAAGUCACUUUUAUUGCCGGCAUCUUCUACGAUAUUUAAUCCGCUCAAACAACUAGUUCGGUCUGAUUUUACUUUUCAUGAUGAACAUAUUCUCGUUCUAGUUAGAUGGAGUAAGACCAUCCAACUGGGACAGCGCACAAUUACUAUUCCACUGGUGGCUAUUCCUUCUUCUCCUCUUUGUCCAGUUCGGGCUAUUUUGCAUGCUUUUUCUCUCACUCCAGGUGUUCUGCCUGAUGCUCAAGCCUUUUGUUGGCGCAAAUCCUCAAUGCUACCCAACACUAUAUUGACAUAUCGGACUUUCAUGUCCGUUAUGAAAAAAGUGUUGACAGAGUUAGGGUGUUCUACCUCCCAAUAUGGUACCCAAUCGUUUCGCCGUGGGGGGCCACCUUUGCUUUAGAGGCAGGUGUUUCCCUGGAUGUCAUAUCCUUAUUUGGGGGACUGGAAAUCUGAUAGUAUGUUUCUUUACCUUCACAUGCCCCUUGCUCAGCGGUUUUCUGCCCAACGACUUAUGGCAUCACACCUUGCAUGACAUAUUUUAUUUUAUUUUAUUUUCUACCACUACUUUGGAUUUGGACUCUAUGUUUUCACAUAUUUUACGUUGUGAGCUAUACUAUGUAUAUAUAUAUAUUUUGUUCACGCUUAUUAAUUUUAUUUAGAGAUGUGUUAUUACCUUGGCUUUGUUGUUGCUUAUAUUAUAUAUGUGUUCUACUUUCAUUUCAUGCUUGUAUAUAUUUUCAGCUAUUACUAUAUAUAAAUGUUUUGUAACUUUUGUCCUAUCUACAGCAAUAGAACUGUACUCUACAA